rnacentral:lncRNA from 1 species
AAAUUUAUAAAGAGUACUUUUUAAAGCAUGUAAUUUUUUUUAGGGGCAAUUGCCUAUAUACCCCUGAAAAGUUUCCGGUUUUCUUAUAUACCCCUCUUAGAAGGCUAAUAUUGAAAAUAUCCUUCUCAUGUUCCAAGUCUUUCUAAUAUGCCCCUGGAGUUAAGCUCCGUUAGUGAGCUGCCGUUAUCUCUGUAAAAUUACCAUUUUGCCCAUUCCAAUAUACCCUUCUACCGUAACUAACUUUUCUUAUAUACCCUUUAUAUAGCAAAUAUUUUUCUUAUUUGCCCUUCAAAUAUAAAUUAAUUAAUUAAGCACGUCGAGAUUGAUCGCAGUUAAACCAACUUUGGUAGCUGGAGGCAUAGUUAGUUAAUUCGGAUUCGGCAAAAAUUCAGUAGUGAUAUAAUUUGGAUAAAAUUCGUCUUUUAAUUUUUAAAUUCGUUAGUUAAUUCGGAUUCGGCAAAAAUUCGGUAGGGAUAUAAUUCGGAUAAAAUUCGUCUUUUAAUUUUUAAAUUCGUUGAAAAAUACGGCUAAAAAACGGAUUCGGCAGUUAUUCGGAUACGUGAUUUAUACAGGUAUUAUACGUUCACCAAUUAAAAAUUCGGGAUCAAAUAUCAAUUUUAUAUAUAAAUUUUAAAAAUUCGGUAUUAUACUAUAUAUAUUAUUUUUAUAAUAUUUAAUAAUAGAUUAAAUAUAUUUAAAAUUAUAAUAAACUUAUAUUAAUAAUAUAUAAGAGUUAUAUAUUUAAAAAUAUUAAUAAAUAAUUACAAAUUUAUAAAUAAAAUAUUAUAUAAUAAUAUUUCUAUAUAAAAAUAAAAUACUAUAUGAAUAAAUCUAUUAGUUAUUAUUAUUAUUAUUAUUAUCAGAAAACAUGACAGUUGAUUUACAGGAACAUAGUUAUUAAAUAAUUAAGCGCUAAUUACUUAAUAAUUGUCAUUAGUGACAUGAUGAUAUGUACAGCUAAUAGGGGUGGUUUAGACUUUAGAUCGAGCACCUGGGGGGCGACGAUGUGGCGCAAAUGCAAGGAGACCUGGCCCUCGUCCCCAUCCUCGUGCGCGUGCCUGUGCGCGUGGCCGUGGGCGUGGCCGUGGUGGUGGUGGCUGUGGCCGUGCGCCGCCGCGUGCGCGCGCAUCCUGACGAUGUGCACCGCGUUGCCGCCCUUGGCGAAGCCCUCGUUCUCGUCCUCGUCCACGGGUGGCUCCAGCGCCGCCGUGGUGAUGGAGCGCCCCUCGUCGUCCUCUGCCGUGGCGUCGGUCUCGGCGGUGGCGGCGGCGCGGUGCUUGCGCUCGUAGAACUGGGUGACGAGGAAGUCGAGGACGAGGGUGGCGAGGGCGGCGGCCAUGGCGACGAAGCCGGAGAAGGGGAAGCGGAGGAGGCAGGGGUCAGUGAGUGCGGCCUCGACGUCGUGGAGCAUGUGGACGAAGCCCGUGGUGAGGAUGAUGCCUGCGGCGAAGGUCUUGGCGAGGGCGAAGAACCCGCUCUCCGUGCUCAGGAGGCGCCGCCGCUUCCGCCCCGCCGGCAGCGGGAGCCGGCGACAUGGAGGCGGAGGAGCCGGCGAUCAAGUUGGGACUUUGGGAGAGAAAGAGGAUAACUUAAGGAAUUGGCAUAAUAAGUUAGGGGUAAAAUAGGUAUUUUAUAUAGGUUUUAACUCUAGUAUACAUUUAACUCAUGUUUAACUCGAGUUAAGCUAACAGGGGAUAACUGCGGGGGUGUUUUGGAAUAACGGUGGAACAUAUGAGGGGCAUUUUAGAAAGAAAAAAAAAGUAGGGGUAGAUCGGAUAUUUCCGAACGCAUGAGGGGUAUAUAGGUAAUUAUCCCUUUUUUAAUAUAGUUAUUCCAACUAAAAAUUCUUAAUUAUUUCUCUUUGUUUGGCACUCCGUUUGUCUAUUACUGAUUACAUUUUAAUUUCUAAAACUCAAAAUUUUUAUUCUCUUGUCUUGUAAUUUAGAUUUAACAACAAUAUUAUUGUAAUCAAUCACCAUUUUUAAUUAUUCACAUAAAUAUUAAGCAUGAUUACGUCACGUAAGCAUGUAGAAGGAAAGGUUUUAGCCAAUGAUAAUGACUUGUCAACUACCAAUGGAUGGUCCUUUAGAUUCUUUUAGUUACUAACGUUAAGCAUAAUAAUUGUCCUAAUAGCAGUAGUACUUCUUGUUGUCAUUGGAUUAUUGUCCUAGUGUUAUUAUAUUGUCUCGCAAAAAAAAUUAAGCAUUUGCAUGCUCUUCUUUUAACUCUCUACCUUUUAAAAACUUUGAAGGCUCCACAAUAACACAUAAUAUAUAUAUAAUCAAGAAUAAUCGGUGCCAACUGUUCCAACAAUUACCUGAUAAAUUUCGAAAAAUAUUAAGUCUACAGCCCAUUUUGCGUUACAAUCUAUACAACCCUUCGCCCCGGUGUUAUCCAUACAAAUAAAUUAAUUGACAGUUUCUUCUGUACACGUGUCCACUCCUCCUUUCUUCUGUUCUCUCUUCAUCUCUUCUCUCUCCUCCCUCCCAUACCAAAUAUGAAUUUUAUGAUUACAUCUUAGGAAGAUAUCAAAUCUUUCCAAAUCCACCUCGAGAAGGUACCAAAUCUAUACAAUGAUUACACCUUGGAAAGGUACUAAAUCUUUCCAAAUCUACCUCGACAAGGUACCAAAUCUAUCCAAUGAUUACACCUCGGGAAGGUAAUAAAUCUUUCCAAAUCCACCUCGGAAAGAUACCAAAUCUAUCCAAUUUUUUUUUUUUUGACAAAAUUCUCAUUUCCUUAUCUCGGGAAGGGACAAUUCUCAACUUGAUUCGGGUGUGUAUAUAGGAGAACCUAUACUCAUGAGGUUAGAACCUUGAAAAAAUUUUCUAGUUGCCUCUUCUUCCUCUGUUCCUCAUGCACUAAACUUCACUCUCUUUAUACUAAGUUUUAUAUUUCUUUUGUAUUUUUUCCUGGAUCUCUGCGAGCUACUUGGGUUUAUGUUGUACCAUCCUGAAGACGUGCCGACGAGGUGGAAGGUGAUCGUUGUAUCGCUAGAAGUGUUUGACGGAACCUAUACAAAUAAACUAAUUGACAGUUCCUUCUGUAUACGUGUCCACUCCUCCUUUUUCCUCUUCUCUCUUCAUCUCUUCUCUCUCCUCCUUCCCAUACCAAAUAUGAAUUUCAUGAUUACACCUCGGGAAGAUACCAAAUCUUUCCAAAUCCACCUCGGGAAGGUACCAAAUCUAUGCAAUGAUUACACCUCGAAAAGGUACCAAAUCUUUUCAAAUCCACCUCGAGAAGGUACCAAAUCUAUCAAAUGAUUACACCUCGGAAAUGUUACAAAUCUUUCCAAAUCCAUCUCGGGAAUGUACCAAAUCUAUCCAAAUUUUUUUUGACAAAAUUCUCAUUUCCUUAUCUCAGGAAGGGACAAAAUUCUCAACUUGAUUCGGGUGUAUAUAUAGGAGAACCUAUACUCAUGAGGUUAGAACCUUGAAAAAUUUUUCUAAUUGCUUAUUCUUCCUCUGUCCCUCAUGCACUAUACUUCACUUCUCUUUACACUAAGUUUUACAUUUCUUUUAUAUUUUUUACUGGAUCUCUGAGAGCUACUUGGGUUUAUGUUGUACCACCCUGAAGAUGUGUUGACGAGGUGGAAGGUGGUCGUUGUAUCGUUAGGAGUGAUUGGCGGAACCUAUACAAAUAAACUAAUUGACAGUUCAUUCUAUACACGUGUCCGCUCCUCCUUUCUGCAACUCCUCCUUUCUCCUCUUUUCUCUUCAUCUUUCCUCUCUCCUCCCUCCUAUACCAAAUAAAUAUGAAAUUCAUGAUUACACCUUGGGAAGGUACCAAAUCUUUCCAAAUCCAUCUCGGAAAGGUACCAAAUCUAUGCAAUGAUUACACCUCAGAAAGGUACCAAAUCUUUUCAAAUCCACCUCGACAAGGUACCAAAUCUAUCCAAUAAUUACACCUCAGGAAGGUACCAAAUCUUUCCACAUCCACCUCGGAAAGGUACCAAAUUAACUAUCCAAAUUUGUUUCGACAAAAUUCUCAUUUCUUUACCUCGGCAAGGGACAAAAUCGUCAACUUGAUUCAGAUGUGUAUAUAGAGAACCUAUAUUCUCAUGAGGUCAGGAUCUUGAAAAAAUUUUCUAAUUGUUUUUUCUUCCUCUGUCCUAUGCACUAAACUUCACCUCUUUACACUAAGUUUCACAUUUCUUUUGUAUUUUUUUACUAGAUCUUUGAGAGCUACUUGGGUUUGUAUUGUACCAUCCUGAAGACGUGCCGACGAUGUGGAAGGUGGUUGUUGUAUCGCUAGGAGUGAUUGUUGGAACUUCGCACGCAGAGGGGCAAUCUUGCUUCUAGGUCAGUGUUUUUGCACACUUCGAUUCAAAGGCCUCAUCUUAACCUCUUUUCUCUAUAAUAUUUUCUACUUAAUCCGUCCUUAUAAUUUUUCGAAAACAAAAGUUAAAAUUAUUUUCUUUUAGAAUUGUUUAAAAACUAAAUUGUUCACGCUAAGUAUAUGUUUGUAUAUUAGUGUUAAAACUAUCUACGGUGAAGCGCGGGUUCAACACUAGUAACUACUCUUCUAGGGUUUAGUCAACCAUUUUUGGGUUUUUAGCAUAAAAGAGAGAGAGAGUGAGUGACAAGACUAGUGUAAAAUUUAUGACUUUUGGAUGAGUGUUAAUAAUAUUACAAUCUAAAGGUGGUUGUAAAGGUAGCAUUGCUUAUUUCCUUUUAAUAUUUCUAUGUUAAACUUCAUGCUUAUUUUUCUAUUUGAAUUAAAACUAUCAUAGAAAGAUACACUUAGAAAUGCUAUAUAGAUCCAUAUUAGUAGAAAACAAUGAUAUAAAUGAUAUGAAGCAAAUGAAAUCAACCAAGAGGAUUAAUUGCAUCCCUAUUAAUUCUUUAUCUCUCUCUCUCUCUCAUUAUUUGGGUGUCAUGGUAUUGAUUAGAAAUAGGCAUAGAGACAAUUAAGUCCAUAUGAGGGACCACACCAUUGGUCCAUUGCCCAAUUUGAUUAAUAGGUAGGGGCACAUGGAUGCUAUAUUAUUUUUUUUUUAAAGUGUAGCCCACUAUUUAUAUUGCUGAGCUUUGGUUUUCAUUAAGGUUUGGUUAGGAGAAUGAGUGAUUACAUAGCAAAACCAACAAUUUGAGUUGAAGUUGAAUCAAAUAAGAUGAUGAUCUAUUCAAAUUGGUUGACAUUUGAAGCUGUUUUAUUGAAAAACAAUAAAUAAGGUUGAGGAUUCUAUUUCUGUUCAAUUACAAAACUUUUCAAUUGAGAAAAAGUUCUCGUUGGAUCUUCCUUGCUUGUUAGAGAUAUCAAAUUAAUCGACAACCCUUACUUGAAAUCGAUCCCCUCAUCUAGGGCUCAAACCUGUGAAUCGUAAGAGCUAACCAGCUAUUUCAAAAGCACGCCAACAAUCCCCCUAUUGUCAUGUAAUUAGCUGUCACAAAAGCACCCGAGCAGUCCCUGGCUAUUGUCACCGGACAAGAAGUUGGAUUUAUUUUAGCAAAUAAUAAAUAGCAAACAAUCUCCCUUCAAACAUUUGUACCGUUAAUGUAGGCAUAUGGGAAUCAAACCAACGUCACUGGCUCCGAUACCACUUAUAGAUUGUAAGAGCUAACCCAAUAUCUCAAAAGCACGUACUAAUAGAAAGGUCGUAUCCAUCACAUUUAAGAGCUCUUUAACCUGACUCAACCCGCUAAAUCGUUAGGUCUAUUGUUGGAUUUCUUGCCGUUAGGUCUAUUUUUGACCAAUGCCUCACUCUACUUAUUAGGUUCAUCCAACUCAACUUAUUAAUCUAUAGGGUCUAUUGUCACGCGACAGAAAAUUAAACCUAUUUUAACUAAUAAUAAAUAGCCAAUAGAACCCUCUUGGAUGUCCUACCAAUGGAAUACCGAUAGUCCGAUAGAAAAAUGCAUAAAUACAUUCAUAUACGUACACGAAGAAUUUGCAGAUCGAAGAAGUUUCUAAUUGUAUAAGAUAACUUAGUUAAACUAUAUGAAACAAUCAUUAUUUUUUAAAACGUAAGCUAUGAAGGAUAGUAUUUUUAUAUUUAUAUUCAACAAAUUUGUAGUAUAAGAGCAAACCCUUUUUAUUCCAAACGAAAUUAGGUUAAUUAACUUCAUACUGCAUGGUUAAUUAGAAUCUAGAAUAAAACCAAUUUGAUUCCAUUUAAAAGAAAAACCCACAAAACCGAACCGAAUCGACCUGAUUUUAUGUAACACCCAAACAAUUCCUCAUCGGAUGGAAAUAGAGUUCAAAUUAGGAAUAUAAGAGGCCAGGCAUCCUAGCGAUAAUAACUGAAAUUAAGAUAUUUUGGGUCGAUGGUUUGGCCCAACAAAUAUUGCUAGCGGGAUUAUUAUUGCUAGCUGGUCAGAUCGUUACAUCUCAUUUGUAUUUUCUCUCCUUAACUUGUGAUUGUAGGCCCCAAUGUUCUAUCUUUUGAUGGAUGAGGAGUGGUUGGCAUUCAUUUAACUGGGAUCCACUUCUACCCUAAUUCUCUUGUUUAGUGUUUGGGAGGUGACCUCAUCAUCAUCAUGUCUUUCUCCAACUUUUCAAUUGAGUCAUCAUCUCUAGGGUUUUAAUCAUAAGGUUUUGUAUUGUAUUGUAUUGUAGGUUUUUGUAUUGCAUUAUUGAAUGUCAUGAUAUGAAAACCCUAACAAAUUCUUCAAAUGUUGAAUCAAAGUAGACAAAGUCUUAGAUGUUUGUAUUGAAUUUUAUAGAUGGAUAAAAAUUAGGGAAAAAACACAAUGUACAAAGACCUCCGAACUGCAGCGCUUUUGUAAACAGACGUUCGAACUUUUAAUUUUAGUCGUUAGAUUACCUAAAUUUUGUCUAAUAACAUUGAAAGUUUGUCCAAUAACUUAAUAGCACUCCCCCAUCCCAUAAACUUUUAAUUUUGGUUGUUAGAUUACCUAAACUUUGUCCAAUAAUUAAUUUUGGUUGUUAGAAUCCAUCUUCAUAUUUUAUUUUUUAUUUCUCUGGUAUUAUAACAAAAGAAAUAGUUUUUUUUUUUGUACAUUUUUUAGCCCAAAAUAACUUAUCUUUUAAAACUUAAAAAAAAAAGACAUCUAAAAUCCAAUUUCACAGAAGCAAGCAAAAAAAAUGCAAAUUAAAAAAAAAAAAAAAAAAAGUCAAGUGGGUCACAAGCAUUCUACUGAGCCGAGAGAGACAAUUCUCUAAUGAUGAAAAAAGGGAAUUUUUUUUUCCCUCAUUUCCCUGCUGAUAUUACAUUAAUUGGCCACUUACUAAUCCAAAGAAUUAUUACUGAUACAUCUGAAAACAAAAACAAAAAAACAAAAAAAACAAAAAAAAAUCUAUCCAACAGUACCUAGUUUUUUUUCUCUUUUUUUUUUUUCCUUUUUUUGUCAACUCCUAUGAAAAAUCUAGGGUUGACAAAGAGGAGGCUAAAAUGUGUUAUACUGCUACAGUUAUUCACCCUUUUUGUCUUCCCCCUCUAUUUUCCUUUCUCUGUAUUGUAAAUGUUGUGUGUUACAAAAACUGUACAGAAUCAAUGUCAGAAACAAACAGGUCACAACUAGCCUUUUCUCUGGCUGUCAGCUACCCUAGGGUUUCGUUCGACGACGAAAUGGUCGAUAAUCCGCACCGAGUUGACGGGGUCGGGACCCGAGGCCGCCUUCCACUUGCUCGGGAACCUUCGGAAGUGGCUCAGCUGCAAAGGUUGCUUCGGUUCCGCGUCCCAGUCGGGGUCUAACUUCCACUCUUUCGGUACCUGAUUCAAUGAAAGGAGUAUAAAAGUCGAGCUCGCGUGCAAGGAUAAUAUAAACACAAACCAUCAGAAAUAUAUUUAAAAUUUCCGGGUGUAAUGGGAAAAACCAUGAUAAAUAGGCUGAGGAAAAGGGCGAAAUCUCCGUAGUGGAUCGCUACGCAAGUUGGUGCUCGAGAUACCUUAGGUUAAACAAUGUAGCGAGAAAUUUAUCUAAGAUUUCGAAGUACUAUGAAUUGUUUAAGGGAUCGAUAGUGGCGUAGUCGAAAAUAAGAGUUAAAUGAAGGGAGGAAAAAAAAACAUGAAAUCCGUAGGACAACCCAAGUUAUAGUAAUGAUUUGAUAAUAUGUUGUAAGGUGGCCGCCCAGUUCAAAUCCUAAGGGGGUGUUUGGUUCCUCGGAAAAGCGUGGAAAACUGUAUUCCCAGAAAACACCCUUUUCCACAGUUUUUGUUUUUCAGAUUAAAAAAUUGGGAAAAGAAAACAGUAGUUUUCCAUGAAAUCUAGAGAAAGAUCUUUUUCUUGGAACGGAACCAAACAGACGGAAACCAGUUUUCCAGCCAGAGAAUUAUUUUUUGGGCCAUUUUCCGGAGAACCAAACAGCCCCUAAUCGAAAGCCAUGUACUCAGCAAGUGGAUAUUUGGUACUUGGUUUAUAAGAUUAUAUGCAUAAAUAAGGCGGGACUAAAAUCUAAAUAAUCUCUUUCUUCAGAUUAAGGGGUAAAAAAAAAGGCUAGAAAAAGAGAUUUAUUUCUUACUUUAUCGACUGCAAGGCUAAAAACCUCGAGGUCGCCAUUUUUAGUGAUAUGGAAGCGCGUGAAAGCCUUGUAAUUCGCGAUGCGGAGGGAGGAGAAGGCUUCAUCGAAAUGAACGUGGAACCAGUUGAUGCAGAUGUACAAAUAGCUUCCGAAAACAAGCGAUACGAUGGGAGUAGAGAAGACCCAGAAAUAGGUGAAAACAGAGGCAUAGUAAAUUAUGGCGCCGCCGCGAGGGAGUGAUUCGAUCCCUCUCUUGCAGAUUUGGCUUCUCGUUACAGCCAUAACCUGCAAGCGAAAGAAGCAUUUAUAAAAUAUUUGACAAGAAAACUUAUGUUGCGGCUUCUACGUGUAUAUAUCUGCAAAAAAAUGCACACAUCUAAAGCUGGGGAGUCAUACAAUUCAUGGGCUCAUAUUUGGAAGAGAUUAUAUGAAAAUUCGACAGAUAUUAAAAUGCUAAUGCGCAUGUGUAACCAUCUCUAAAGAAUAUGGCCAAAAUGUAAAAAUGACACCAAAAAAACUAUGCCGUGUUAAAGGGUCGUCACCUCGGGAAUGUCGAAUGCCGACAUGAGGUACUUAAUACAUGCAGGGUAGAGUCCGAACGUCCACUGCUCGAUCCGAGCCCUAAGGCCAGUUGGAUCCGGAAAGUGUUGGCUUUCCAUCGACCGAUACCAUUCAUAAAGAGUGUGAUAGCCUGAAAAUACAUACAGAUAUUAAAAUGCAGAGAUAUUAACAUAUACACUAACAAAUCUAAACAUUUACAUUAAUAUCGGAUUAACUGGUGGUUCCAAUACAAUAGCGCCUAAAAAAAAUUUUGCUUGUACAGUUGAAAUCAACCUUAAAUUGUAUGAUGGCAAGAAAUGAGCUAGAAAGAAAAGAAACAAACCUGAAGUCGCUAAUAGGUGAUUCCGGAUACAUAUCUCAAUACCCAAUUCCAGUAGCAGCAUCAAGAUUAGUGCUGAGGUCAGAUGCGCCACACCAUGCAGGACCCCAAUUAUAGCACGCUUUUUCCGCGAUAGUUUUGUGGGAACGAAGAAAAACGACGCCAUUAUCAAUACGAGAACACCAGCUAGAGAGACGUAAGAACGUUCUAGAAUGUAGAGGAAAGCGCCCCACAUCAUGCUAAAGAAGCCCUUGAGGCGGAUGGACCAACUAUCGUCAUGCAAUAUGUCGAAAAGAUCGCACUGAAUGAUAAAACACCCGAAAGUUAAAAGAGUCCUCAAAAUGUUAAUAUCCUCAUCAAUCUAGAAUCUUGACGUAGUACGACAUACGCACAAUAUAAAAUACAAAGAAUAAAACCAACUUUCUCAAUAACUUUAAUCUUAUCACGAAACUUGCAUACUUAAAAUUACAGGAGAACAAUUUAGAAAGCAUUAUAAUGCGUGUAAUGUGAAUAUAUAACUCAACUAGCUCUAAAGGUGUCUCACCUGUGGAAACAUAGAAAAGACCAGGACAAAGUAUAUAAUGCCGCCAAUGAUAUCAAAUUGCCAGUUUUUUCUUCGAAACUUCAAUAUGUUACCCAAUGCUAUCUGGAAAAGAAAAAUUUAUUAGUUGUAAAAAAGCUUAAAAAGAACGAUAUUCCAGGAUUUACAUAUAUGCCAUGCAAAAAAUGUAUAUUAUAUAACAUGUGAAGCUAAAUUUGACAAGCGAGAAAUCGAUAAAAGACCAAGAUGGGUCAACUAUGAUAAGUAAAAAUGAGAAGAAUUUAAAAAAAAGAAAAAUCAACCAUACCCUGCCAGAAUCCUCAAAAGAGGGAUAAGUAGCCUUGCUUUCGUAAGAAUUUCCAUAGAAUUUCUUGAAACCUCUGAACACAUGGGUCGGAUGCAAAAAGGCUCCGCCACAACCAUUAACAAGUAAAUGCUGGACGUGAACAGGUUCUCUUGAUGAUGAAACGCAAGCUUGCUGGACGUGAACAGGUUCUCUCGAUGAUGAAACGCAAGAAUGGCGCAUGUAAUGGUGCAAGUCCCCGGCCAUUCUAAGUUUGCAUCUUCCUUUAAGAUAAUCGCGUAUAAGAUAUGAGACAUUUUUUCCAGUAUCAUCACCCCAAUACCAAUCGAGAAGCCAAUUCGGUUCAUGGGUCAUAACAAUAACUGAAUCGUUUUCUCUGACCUGCAUGAAAUAAUUUUAUCUCCAUAAGGAUUGCAUAAGAAUGUUUAGUAAGAGGAUGUGCUCCGGAAGAGUCUCCUUCAAAUAUCAAACGAUUUUCUAUUUUGCCACCAUAAAAAAAUGAAGCCUAUAUAUUACCCUCUUAAACUAUAUGUAUAUAUUUUUAUCACUUUGCCUCCCUUUGUUAGGCAAUAUAUAUCUCUAUGCUUAUAUAUCAAUGGCAUAAAAUGAGAAGAAUAGUGAAUACAGUAUCAGGUAAUCUGCAUUUUACGAUCGCUAAAAGUAAUCCUCACCAGCCAACUACACAUACCUUAGUAUUUGGAACUUAGAAACCUUGAAGCUAUUGGUGUUCAGUGAUAAUGACAUAAAAAAGGGUCAAAGGCAUUUAGGGUAUGUUUGUUUCUCUUGAAGUGGGGUGCUCGAAGUGGAACUGGGAUGAAACAAGCAAGUUCCAUUAUUUGGUUCAUCUAGAACUCAUGAGAUCAAGCCGAUGUGCACCUCACUUCUGCACUUUUGAAUUGCUUUAAUAUUAGCCCGAAGUUGUGAGUUUGCUCGAACUCCUACCCCCAGAAAGUAGGGACUUAACGGAGCUCGUGUUUCGUGAUUGCCAAACAUGCCCUUAAUCAAACUAAUAUAGGUAUAUAUUCUUGUAACACCUCUUUUUUUUUUUAUUCCUUGCUAGUUUUCAUAUUUUUGUAGGCCAGUAAAAAAAAAUUCGUUAAGAAUCGUAAAAGAAAAUUGCAAAAUUAUCUGUUACUGAAAAAAAUAAUAAUAAUAAACCUUGUGUUGGCAUAGCUCCACGAAAAAUUUGAAUUGGUACACAUCAAUGUCACCGUGAAGAGCCUGGUCGAGACCAAAUACCCACCACCCUUUUGGGAGCUCCAAUGCAAAAUAACUCUUUUUCUGAGGCAUAAACCACCCACCCAACCAGCUUCUGUGGCAUAUGUACCUCAUAAAAGUGUGAAGCCCAUCAAACCAAUCUGCAGAAAACUAAGCAACUUAAUGACCAUGCAGUCCACAAUAUACAUUGAAAGAAAGAGGGGCGUAGUUUAAAAUUUGGUCGUAGAAUCCCAAUUUCAAUUGCAUCUUCAGAGUUCCAAUUUCAAUUAUUUAGUCUCUGAAGAUUGUUUUUAAGUAAAAUUAGGUCCUUCCAUUAUUUUUCCGUCUAAAAAGCCAUAACGUAAGCAUCAUGAACUCUAUAAAAGAUGCCAACAGUGGCGUAAAUAAAAUUGGAAGUUUGGAACUCAAAAGAUGCAAUUGAUAUGGCGACCAAACUUCCAGGACUAAAUUUGUAAUUAACCCAGAAACUAAAAAAAAAAAAAAAGAAAAAAAAAAGAAAAAAAAAGAUCGAAUACUAAGGCAAGAUCAACUGAUUUUUAGACCCACAAUACUACUAGAAAGGAAUUUUGUCCACGUGCAUCUAAAACGUAAUGAGGUUAUUUUACAUAAGAACAACGACGAACCGUGAUUUCCAGGAAUUAAGAAACACUGGGGCCCGCGAUAUCGUUUCAGCUCCGAGACCCCAAAUGGAAGCUCCGGUUUGUCCACCGCUAUAUGUUCAGCCUUGUACCACGGAGGAGGUUGGAAAGCAUAUUCAAAAGGACAGAAAAAGCGCCUCUCAUACGUAAAUGUAGAAGGAUUAGGGUACCUGUGUGGAGAUUUCAAAAACAUUUUAAACCAUACUUAAGAGUUAUUGCGUGCAUGAUAUCGUCCAUAAAGAUCCUAUUUAUGUAGGUCGAAACUUCGGGAUAUUAUUCUCGAAAAAAAAAAACACACGGUAGAGAUCAUUUAAUAUCAUCAAACUUCUGAGUCCAAAAUUCAAGUAUUUCAUUUCAUUAAUCAAUAAGCCAAAACUUCUCCUCUAAUUAUAAAAAUGGAAGCAUAAGAAAGGGAAAAAGGGGCCACAAUCUAAUUUAAUAUUAACCGACUUUUAUGUAAAAAGACAAAAAUUUCCUCGUAUCAAAUUAUAAGUCACUUUUUUCUGUUAAAUCAACAGGUUCUGUUUUCCCCAAGCUUAAGCUGGAAAAGAUAUAUAUAUAUAUAUAUAUAUAUAUAUAUAUAUAUAUAUAUAUAUAUAUAGGAUUGACCUCCUAUGUGUUUAAAAGUACCAAGCCAUUGGUGCUUGUAAGUUUUCGGCCCUUGGAUUAAGAGAUGUGCGGUUAGGAUGAUGUGGGCCCCCUAGGGUUGAGUGGGUGGUUGGUUGAAUAGUAUAAUCUAACGGAUGAAAAUGAUCAAAGGCAUAGAUCUAACGGUAAAAAAUUCACAAGCACCAAGUGCUUGGUGCUUUUACAAGCACCAUAACCGGACUCUAUAUAUAUAUAUAUAUAUAUAGAGAGAGAGAGAGAGAGAGAGAGAGAGAGAGAGAGUUUAGCAGCUGCAUCUAUAGUCAUUAAAGGUUGAAUAGGCCGAGGAGGCACUUAAUCUUUAGGAUAAAGGAAUGUUAGAUAAGAAUCUUACGCAAGGUCCCCUCCAAUAAGAAGCAAGUCUCCACGUGGGAGCUUUUGCACCGAGUCACCAUUUUUAAUCUGUAAUGAACGUUGUGCCAGUAAUCGGGCCACCGCAUAGGUAGAGUUUCCACCAUCGCCAGUAUCCGCAAUGAAAUCAAACCAAAGUUCGUCUCUGUUUUGAAGAUGAUCGUACAGUAGAUCGCUGUUUUUAGAUUCGUCAGGAACCUUGUUCAUAGCAGCCUGGUUGAUUUGGAUGGAAAAAUGGAAUCAAACAGAUUAUGAAAAAAGCAAAAGCAAAUGAGCAUGAUCACAGACCAUGAUAUAUUUACAUUUGCACCCCUGCGAAAUUAGUGUAACCAUGCAAAAUCUGAAUGUUCAUUACCUUUGAAAACUUAAUUUGUUACAUAUUUAUAACGUUGUACAUGCAAAAAUGCCCCUCUUCUAGAGAACUCUUCUGAUAGCACUAAACCAACUUCCCCCCAUAAAUUAGCCGACUCCCAAUUUAAUGUAAAGGUUUCUUUUGUUUUAAUAAGAAACUGCUCUUUCAAGGGUAUGUAAGAAAAUUCAGAUUUUUACAGGUGUGUAUGCGCAUAAAUAUAUAUACAUAUAUAGAUGAUUUUGCAGGGUAAAAAUUCUAUUUUGUUUAUAUUUAUUAGAUACCUGCAUCAUUCGCAUGUCAAAUCGACCAACAAAUAGAGUCACGGAUACCAUGAGAUCAAACACCGUCUUGAAUAAGUCAGUGGAAGUCCUAAAAUAUGAAAAGGAAAGGAAGCAGUGAAUUCCUAUUGUCGCCUUAAAAUGGAAAAAGAAAAAUAAGAAAAAUAAAUGUAGGCUUAGCCGAUAUUAGCAUACCCCGAAUACCAAGGUACCAUGUCCAAGAAAUCAGGUUUCAUUUGUUUCUUCAACUUCUCGUACUCUGAUAUUGUCAUAGGAUGAGUGAGAGCCCAUCUGUGACAUCGGAAAGGCAAAUAAAGGACAAUUAGAUAACAUAAACUAAAUCCAUUUGAGUAAUAAGCCAAAGAUUUUGCAACCUUUACAUAGAAAUUACGCUAAGAUGAAGGAAACCUCUUACAAAAUAUCGCUUUUUUUUUUUUUGUUUAACGUCGCAACCCAAAACAAAAACAAGAACAAAACCUAUAUAUAAUCCAUAAGUAUAAUUGUCAUUACUUUGCCUCUUUCCAUCAAUCUUCAUCAAGCAAUACAUAACAUAAAAUAAACUCAAAAUGAUGUACGCAUCAUCUUCAACCGUCUCCUCUACAUGAAAUAUUACGUAGUAAAAGAAAGUAGCAUUUAUGUUUAAGAGUUAUAGUGAAUUAACAUACCCAGUUGAUCGUUCGAUGACAUAAUUAGCGAUGUAGAGUCCGAUAAACGUUGCCCACAAUGAAUAUAAAGGUGAUAUUUCAUCUGAAAGGUGAGGACAUGAUCCAUUGCAAGCUAACUGUUGAAAACAAAUAACAAAAAUAAUAAACCCAGAAAUUACGAAAAGAAAAAGAUAUAUAUAAUAUCAUAAGAAAGCUGGAGAAAGUUCGGUAUACCUCCCCAUAGAUGACCCAUUUAGAAAAGAGCGGGUAGUCGCUAGCAGAACCAACCGGCGCAAACCAGGAAGAACAAAUUUGGUCCUUCCACUCGUGCAUUUUAAGGAACUUGGAUAUCCAUAUAUUUCUAUCUUGCUUGUUCCACAAAGGGAAAGAAAACCAAUUUGAGUUUCUUCUAUCAAAGUGCUUCUCUCUUGUGAUAGCUCGGUUACCGCAGUGGCUGUAAAAUACACAGCAUGCUAUACUUAUGACCUGCAUAAUCGCAGGCGUUACACACAGCAGAAAUAUUAGGUACAUAGCGCUUGGUUUAACCUUUUUAGGAGGUUUCAGUUUAGCCCACAACCAUUCGAUAAUCGAUACUUAUUAUCAGGUCACUAAACAUUGCACUCUAUGUGAUCUAAUCCUUGUUGUUUAAUCCCGUGGUUAAAUUGGAUUCGAAUGCUCACAAAAUCAACAUAUGAGAAGUCGAAUAGUUAGAUGAUGAUUACAUGGAUGUGUCUGUCCCAGUUAACAGAGAAAUGAAAUGAAACAGUAAAUAUUGCGAUGAAAUGGAAUAAUUAGGCACCUAAUUUAUUCAUAUAUAUCGAAAGGUUGUAGAACAAACUGAGAUCAAUUUACCCCGAAAAAGGUCACGAACCAACAUCAAUUUGUUGUGUGUUAAGACAACUUUAAGAACUUACUGCACAGUUUUGGAUGAUAGUGAGUAUCUCUGGUCUCUUUUCAGCCAUUCGCGAAACCAGGCCCAAGUACCAAAGCCCGAGAAAUAUAAUGUGGAAAACAAUAAGAAAAAGAAGCGAGGUGAUAUAAAUUGUGAUGAAGAGAGAAAGGUUCAUUCUCAAGUCGACUCCCAUCGACUGAAAACUCGGAAGAUGAUAUAAAGCUGCCAUGAAGAUCCAUGCAAUGUACCUGCAGAACAAAUGAGACUGACACAUUUACCUUGUUUUUGUCCAAUAAAUAUGCCCAUGUAUUAAAAAAAAUUGCCCCCUUUAAGAAACUUAUUCAGAUUCAAAACAGCAUUUCCCUGAAUUAGACGACUCCCGAAGUUUGUGGGUGCUUUUCUAAGAAACUGCACUUUCGAGGGGAUAAAUAGGAGCACCGGAAUAUAUAGUUUUACAUAUUAUUAGAAAAAGAAUAACGUACCAACGGCUGAAGUUAGAAUAACUUGGCUUGAUAGUCUUCCUAAUGAAAGGAGAAGAGAAGAAAUAAAAGAAACCGAUCAGGCAAAUGUACAUGGACCACCACUUGAUGUUUUUGUCCAUUUUUUGUAUGAGGGUGUGCAAAUUAUCCGAUGAAAUGAAAAAGAUCCAUCCUAUUAUAACCGCGGUCAUUGCAUGCCUCGAAUGCUCGUGAGGGUACGGAUAUUGGUGAGCCAAUAUCGUUCGAACUCUAUCCAUUUUGAAGGAUUCAAAUAUAGGACCUAUAGAUUGCUUUUCUGCGCUCAUGGAACUAAAAUUUAAAAACAAGCGUAAUUUAUCGCUGUUUUAACACCUGUGCCUCCACGAGAGAUAUGUUCCAAGGCGUAGUUUGGCUCUGCAUAGAAAGAAGCAAAAUCUUUAGUUUCAGUAUCCUAACCUGCUAAAAUUCAGAAACAUGGAUAACUUAACAAAAGUAGACAGGAAUUGUUGCAGGUUUCUUGGAUCGACAUCUCAGUUAACAAGUUACACUGCGAAUCUCAUAAUCACACUAACAAAAACAGGGAAAAAAAUGUCUCACUGAAACUUUUUUGUGUACCAUAAGAUUAUAUAUAUUGGAAUCUGUUGGAUAUAAAAGUAAAUAUACUGUAGAGAGAAGUUGUUGGGGGUUUCUAAUUCAAUGCAUUACUCAAACCACACUUCAUCAAAAACAAGCCCUAAGUAACCAAUAACCAAAAAAUUGGGAACCCAAACUUACAAUUAAGACUCAAAACCCCGGAAAUAGACAAAUCCCAAGCUCAAGUUUCCAACCAAAGGGGAUUUUAAGCAAAAGGAAUCACAUUGUUUUACGGUCUCGAUCCCACAAGCUCAAUUUUCCAACCAAAGUACAAAAUGAGAAAGAAAGGGGCUUCAAUCAAGACAAAUCCCAAGCACCCCGAACUUCCACUCUUCCACCAAAAAUAUCAUAACACAAUAUAAAAUCACACUUGCAUCACACUAUUAACUCAUCCAUUAAUGAUUUUUAUAUGUACAUAACCCAUUUUUUGUGCAAAACUAAUCACACACCAGAAUUGAACAAGCAAACCAAAUUCCAAUAUCACAUCGCUAAAGAGCACAUAUCCAUGAAUUCAAACACAUUCACAGCCAAAAUUGGUUGGUGGGUACAGAGAAUUUAUGAAAAUUUGCACCAAAAAAUGAUGGAGAAGAAGAAGAAGAAGAAGAAGAAGAGCAAAAUGUCUCAUAACAUCACACAAGCCCACACUCACAAUUCAAUGUUACAUUAAAUUUAAUCUCACAUAGCUAUUGACCACCACUCACCCAUGAAGAAAUUGCAGGUAAAAGAAAAAAAGAAAAAAAGAAAAACCCAACUUAGGGAAAGAUUUACACAAUUCAAUUGUGCUUGUUUGUGCAAAACUACAUCACAUACCCAAAAGACCAGAACCCACCAUCCAUAAUCACACACAGGAACAAGCAUACCAAAAUUCUAAUCACACAUCACAAAACACAUCCAGAGCCAAAAUGGGUUGUCGGGAAGAGAAAUUUAUGAACAAUUUAUGCAGGAAAAGGUCCAAAAAGGGGAACUUUCGAGAGGUUAAUAGAGGAGGAGGAAGAAGAAGAAGAAGAAGAUGUGGGUUCUUCAGGGAGAAUCUAUUCCCAACACACCCAAUAACCCUAAAAACUCCUACCAAAUUGUGUCAUAAACACCACACAAGGUCACACUAACAAUUAAAUGAUACAUCAAAUUUAACCUCAUACAACUACUCACCAUGAACACAAAACCCACAAUUCACAACAACACAUGGGAACAAGCAUAACCAAAUUGUAAUCACACAUUACAAAACACAUCCAGACCCAAAAUGGGUUGUUGAAUACAAAAUUUCUGAACAAUUUUUGGAGGAAUAGGAUCAAAAAAAUGGGAACUUUACCUGAAGAGGGCUUUAUAGAGGAAUAAAAGAGCAAGAAGAAGCAACUAAAUGAUACAUCAAAUUUAACCUUACACAACCAUUAAGAAAUCAGAAAAAAAAAAAAAGCCCACAAUUUGCAACUUAUGGGAACAAGCAUAACCAAAUUGUAAUCACACAUCACAAAACGCAUCCAGAUUGUUGGGUACAAAAAUUUCUGAACAAUUUUCGCAGGAAUAGGAUCAAAAAAAUGGGAACUUUACCUGAAGAAGCGAUUAAAUGAUACAUCAAAUUUAACCUUACACAGCUACUUACCAUGAACUCACCCAUUAAGAAAUCAGGGGAAAAAAAAAAAAAAACCAAAAUUCACAGCAACAAAUAGGACAAAUCCAGGGCCAAAAUGGGUCGCUGGGGACAGAGAAUUUAUGCAAUUUUUUUUGCCAAAAAAUGAUCAAAAAAAGAGGAAAAAGGAGAGGGCUUUACCUGAAGAGGGGUCCCAAAAGAGGAAUGAAACAAGGGAGAAGAGGAGGAGAAGGAGAAGAGUGCGAGGGUUUUUAUUCAGUGGGAAAAGAAAAUGAGAAAACGAGAAAAAUGAGAAAAAAAAGUUGAGAAAUUGGGGAUUCGUUUUCUCGGUUUCUGAUCAACAAUGGGAACAAAUAUGGAAAAUGGGGAAAGAGAGAAAAAAAAAAAAAAAAGUUAAAAAAAAAAAUUAUUAAAAAAAAGAAAAGAAAAAAAGCAUAUGUGGGGAAUCUUCUAAGGAAGUUCCUUGCGGGAAGAAAGCAAAGCAUCAUGCUUAAAAACAAAACAAAAAAAAAGAAAAAAAAAAAAAGAAAAUCAGAAUUUACAUGAAAAAGUAACCGACAGCACGUCACACCCACUUCUGCACCCAAAAGUCUACCUAAGACUUUUUAUUUUUAGAAUUAGGGCUUUCUGCAAAUAUCUGUAGAAAUUUUACAGAGAAUUUUUACUGUGUGCCUUCUUAUUUGGGACUCGAGAUUGUGGCUCUCGGCCUAUGUAUCACGGACACUUUUAUAAGACUCGCGUGUCUGUAUCUUGGACGCGGGUUUAAUGUCGAGUAGUGCAUACAAUUAAAAAAAUAUGCAUGCAUAUUUUGAUUUUACUUUUUUUAUACAUAUAUAAUGUAAGAUUAUAAAUAUUUUAACUUUUUAAUAAAUAUAUAUAAUUUUUUUGACAAUAUAUAAAUAUAUUAUAUAUGAAGGAAAAUUUUUUUCUUAAACUAUAUGAUCUGAAAAUUUUAUUAAUUUUCAUUCAUAUAAAAAAUAUAACAAUAUUUUGCUAAAACUAAUAUUAUAUAUAUAAUAAAUAUAUAUAUUAUUACAUUAAUAAUAUUAUUAUAUUUUAUUAACAUUAUUUGUAUUGUGUUCGUGUUCUAUUUUUUUGAAGGCUGCCGAGUAAUUGUGUCCAAAUUGUGUCGUGUCCUGUGUUACGUGUCAGUAUUCGUGACGUCUUAUCUUCGACAGUGUUCUACAAAGAUGCCUUAUAACUCAAGUUAAUUUGUAAAAUACUAGUCAUAUGUUUGCCCUAGUAAUAUAAUUGUGGCCAAGUAGAUUCAAUCUCCCAUAUGUGUGUAAAAAUGAGAGUCGAAUAAUAGGAUUAGAAUAUUCGAUCUUUUGGGUUAGAAUAAUAUAGGCUUGAGAGUGUUCUAGCAAGAUUUAAAAAAGAAAAAAAAAACACUAUUCGUGGGUGAAUAAGUGGGUGAUUUGAAUUUUACACAAUCUUUUUUCUACUUUUAAGUAUUUUGUAAUUUUUUUUUUUUAACUAACCUAUUAUAUUUUGCCAAUUUAGCACCCACCGCCAUGCCAAUAGAAUAGCUGAAGAAUAUUCCAGAUAUAAUUUGUAGGGAAAACUUCAAAAAAAAAAACCGUGGUUUCGCAGUUUCUCACUUUGCCCCCAUAUAGUUUAAAGUGUAUCGAUUUGGCCCAAUGUGGUUUCAUUUUUAUCUUUUUGGUAGCUUUUUCGUUAAUAUUUCAUUAAAUUAUAUAUAAAAAACUUCAGAUACCCAUCUAGAUUUAUCAAAUAUUCACUUUAGUACCCUUCAAUUUUAACUUUAUCACUGAUUUAAGAAAAAAAAAUAAUGAAAUUGAUAAGAAAAAGAGAAAAAAGAAACCACAGGGGGGCAAAUUGAUAUAUUUUAAACCACAGGGGGGCAAAGUGAGAAACUGCGAAACCACAUGGGGAGUUUUUUGAAGUUUUCCCUAAUUUAUAAGCGUCCCCUAAAAAAAAAAUUACAGAUGAUCCUAACAAAUUUAAAAAAUAUUUACAGAUGAUCCUAACAAAUUUAUCUUUACAUAUCUGACUCCCUCCUUGCCAUGCGAGUAAAAUAUUGGCAAUUUUAAAUUGAACAUAAUGAUUGAAUCACCAUAUUCAUAUUCACACUUUAGUCACUUUUUUUGACUUAUAGAUAAUAAAAAAUACAAAAAGUAAUACGGUGAUCCAAUCACAGUAUUUAAAUUCAUAUUUCAGUUUCUUUUUUUUACUUAACAAUAAAAAAAGAAAUUCGAUGAUUCAAUUGCUGUGUUUAAAUCACCGUGUUCAAUUUAAAAAUGACGCUCGCGUAACAAGAAAAGAGCUAUUUAUGUAAAUAUAAAUUUAUUAGGACCAUUUAUAAAACAAAAGUUUCGAAGGGCUUAAAUACAAAAAAAGCCCUUUACCAGCUCUUCUGCUUUAUUUUUCCAUAGUUUUGAUUUAGAUUGCCCAGUUGCUUGAAACCAGGUCAUUCAUUAAGGGGCUAUUUGAUUGCACGUAGUUAUAAUUGUGUUGUAAUUGUAACUGAAUUCAAAUUUAAUUUUUGAAAAAAAAAUAAAUUAUCUCGCAAGUGAAAUACUUUAUUCUAUCAAAUUAUAGAUGUCAAAACUUUUUCAGAAGCAAAAAAACAAAAAAUAUAUAUAUAGUAGGUCUUGUACGCUAUUAGGAGCACAGAGGCCUCUGUACUCCUAAGCCGUUUUCGAUGAUGGGACUUCCGAAUCGACGAUCGGCACUGUUAGAUUUGAUCUAGAAUAUAUGAACUAUUUAGAAAAUAAUUUCUGCAGAUUUUCGAUAUCAUUUACCUAGUGAUCGAAAGAAUUCGAGAUCAAUAAUUUUUAAUAAUUGAUGUAUGCCGUUUGCAAGUUUAACAGUAUAAAAGUAUUUAAAUCAGAUGAAAUUUUGAUAAAAAAUUCUUUAUGCCAUCUACAACAAGAUCAAUAUCUCUGAUCGAAAAUUUUUAGUGUAACAUCAUAACUUUUUAUGAGAUUUUUAUUUUUAGCCGUUGAUUUUGAGUCCUUUCGAUCACAAGUAAUGAUAUCGAAAAACCGAAAAAUUUAUUUUCUAGAUAGUUCAAAUACACUAGAUCAAGUCUAACAGAACUGAUCGUCAAUUCAGAAGUCCCACCCACGAGCACCUGCACCCGUUGGUGCCCCUCGCUGCCACGUUGAUCCCAACUGAGAAUUCAUAUUAUAUAUAUAUAUAUAUAUAUAUAUAUAUAUAUAGAUAAUAAAAAUAAAAUUUUAAUAUUUUAAUAAAAUUUAUAUUUAUAGCUUAUAGGAAGUUAUAUCAUGUUAAGCACAGUCAAUUUGCAUGACUAAAUUUAGUUGUUAAAAAAAUAAAAUAAUAGCUAGAAGCAUAUGAAAUACAUAAAUAAUAACUUAACGUAUCUGGCUUAAGAAAAUUUUGGUUGGCGUCUCAGACUCCAAUCUCCGCAUCAUACUUUUUAAUCUACGAAAGAAAUUUUGCCCACAACAGUGUCUACUAAAAAAAAUGAUUAUAAUAUGAAAAUAAAACAAAAAACAUCAAUCUUAAAAAAAUUAAUAUUUUUUUAGAGCACUUCUCUUACUCAUUCAAAUCUCAUACAUCUUCUUAAUCUUCAGCUGGUAGUUGCUCCGCGCGCCGAAUCAUUUCUGGAUUUCUAUUGUAACCUAUGAACAAACACCUCAUCUGCAUCACCAAACUGCGAUAUCUAAACCGAUACAGUCUUGCCAUCACAUCAACCACAGAAAUCCUUAUUCUUAAACAAUUUGAUUUACCAAGAAGUUCCUGUGAUUCUUGAGAAGCGCAUGCAACGUCG